rnacentral:rRNA from 1 species
UGAACGCUGGCGGCGUGCCUACUACAUGCACGUCGAGCGAACGGACGAGAAGCUUGCUUCUCUGAUGUUAGCGGCGGACGGGUGAGUAACACGUGGAUAACCUACCUAUAAGACUGGGAUAACUUCGGGAAACCGGAGCUAAUACCGGAUAAUAUUUUGAACCGCAUGGUUCAAAAGUGAAAGACGGUCCUGCUGUCACUUAUAGAUGGAUCCGCGCUGCAUUAGCUAGUUGGUAAGGUAACGGCUUACCAAGGCAACGAUGCAUAGCCGACCUGAGAGGGUGAUCGGCCACACUGGAACUGAGACACGGUCCAGACUCCUACGGGAGGCAGCAGUAGGGAAUCUUCCGCAAUGGGCGAAAGCCUGACGGAGCAACGCCGCGUGAGUGAUGAAGGUCUUCGGAUCGUAAAACUCUGUUAUUAGGGAAGAACAUAUGUGUAAGUAACUGUGCACAUCUUGACGGUACCUAAUCAGAAAGCCACGGCUAACUACGUG